rnacentral:misc_RNA from 1 species
UCUAUAUCUUCUUGUUGAAACUAUUUAUAUUCUGAAUUUAUGGUUAAAUCUGUGGUUCAAGUAAUGUAUUGUAUCAAUGAGUAUGGAUGGUGAAGAGCAGGAUCAAGGUGAGCUCCGCCCUCAGCUCUCCCCGAUACCAAGCUCUCCUGAAAAUACACCAACCAGCUCAUAUAGAAUACAAGUAACUAAAGUCUGGACUGGGUUUGGGUUUACUACGUCGGAGGAGUCCGAGACGGAUAAAGAGAACCGUAGUAUGGAGGCUAACAGAAAUCCAAUGCAGGAUUCAAGUUCUCUACGUUUAUACCUUGAUGAAACACAGAAUGUUGCAGACGCUCCUGAGGAUAUUUUUGAGGAUGACGAAGAGAUGCCGCAGGUAAACAGACAAAGCUCUGAUCAUAUUCUCACAAGUCAGAAUGGAGAAGAGAACAAAUAUUACGGAGAUAUUCCUGUUCUCGGUUCCUCUCCUUCGCCUCAGAACAGAUAUAACAACGGUUCUCAACCCUCACAAUCCACUCCGGUCUCUCAACCUUCCGGACUCAAUAAUACAUCUAGAAAAGAAGAAUCUGCUGUAACACCUAGUCAACCCCUUGAUGAUUCUGUUAUAUUUCUCUCUCCUCCUCCAGUUAAAGAACCUAGUUAUGUGGAUAUAUCAGACGACUUUCAGGACGAGGAAUUAAACCUUGAAUUAUCCCAGACCCAGGUAAUUGACAGAGACUCCAAGAAUACGGACUCCCAACAAGAGACCAGUGACUCCCAACAAGAGACUAGGGACUCCCAACUCUCAGGAAUACUAAUACCUAACUCCCUCCUCACGACACAAACAGAUAUUGAGAAGAUGAUGGCGGACGAUGAUGACCUCCAGAACAUGACAAGUAUAAUUGAUCUGGAUGGAACCCAAUCAUCUUCUAACGACAAGGAGGAUUCUAUAGAUAUAGAAAUUUUUAAUAUCCCGCAGAGGUUGGACUUCCAUGUCCCUAGUCCUAUGAAGGACUAUCGGAGACAGUUUUGUAGUCCGCACAAAAUCAAAACAGAUUUUCCUCUGAUCAGUCCGCUCAAACUUAGCGGAGCAAAUAGGACAGGGAUACGUGGUAGUGAAUCAAGCAACAAUAACUCCGGGCUUGGGUUGGAGAAAAGACAGAAGGAGAAGGAAGCCGAACCUGCUCCUGCUCCCCUGGAGAGUAGAGAAGACGAGGUUCCUGAUCAGGAGAACAGCGUGGAAGAGAUUCUGCAGGAAGAGGUUCAGGACGCGCAGAGUCUAGGUUGUGAUUUUACUGAGACCGUGAUGAAGAGCGAGGAUCAGGACAUUAUACCGAGCAAAGAAGACGACGCCUUGAGUAGUGCGGAGCAUGAUGUAAUUAAGAGAGAUGAUAAUGAUGAUGAAGUGCUGCAUGAAGAUACAAAUGAUGUAAAGGAUGAAGUUCAGGGUGUUCUGAAGAGAAAAGCUGCUGAAGCAUUGUCUAGUGAAGAGGAAAGUAGGAAGAAAAAGGAUUUAAAGAAUACAAAGGUUCCAGAAGGGGAGUCUCGUUCUGAUUCUGGUUCAUUAACUCCGGGAUUAACUGCUCUGGACAGUUCUUCUAGACCUAUCUCAAGGUCUGAGUAUGAGCAUCCGGAUAUAUCCUGUAGUCCUAUUGUUGGUGUAAACACGGGUACAGUGAGUAUCGAAUACCAGGAGCAGAAUAAGAAGAGGAAAACAAGUACUCCUGGAAACAAGAUGAGUUCUUCCUAUUCCUCGCCACGGAAGAUUCUUAGAAUGAAGAUGAAAGAACAGGCUUCCGUUGAAACCUCCGAGGAAGAGGUUCUACAAGGGUUAAACCAACCUCGAGGUUCUCCAGAGCAGUUGGAGAUCAAGAAUGAUAAAGAGGAGGAGGCCCAGAGUAUUGAUACUCUAGUAGAGGAUAGUUUACCUCUGUUCAAAUCUCCAGGUUCUAUGGUUAAAUAUGAAAACUGUAUAAUAGAGAGGGAGGAUGGAAAGGAGUUUAAACUAGAAGAGGUCAAACAGCUGAUGAAGGAUUUGGGCUAUAGAAUUUCUGUGCUUUCUGAGACGAAAAAGCGUGUAAGUGAUGCGAGUUCAUUAUCCCGAAAUAGCAGUGAUCUGAGUGGAUAUCUUGGAGGCAGUAGUGGAGUCUCGAGUGGGGAGUCGGGUAAACGAUCAAGAUAUUCUCUGUAUCCGGAAGUGUCCAUUGAAAAGCAUAUAACUAUUUCAAAGAUUCCUAAUAUUAGAUGUCCUAAAGUAACUGUUGGUCUUGAACAAGUUCCUAAAGAGUAUCUCCAGUCUAGGAAAGCAAUUGAAACCAGUAAAGGGGAGCCCUCAAAACAAAAGGCUAAGGAAGAAAAUCUCAAAGAAUUGGAAACUCAAAAGUCUGAAAACUUGACAACAAUCGUCGAAGUCGAUGAAUCCUCGGUAUUAACAUCUAGGAAAACUUAUACCAAGGCUAGCGGUAAUGAUAAAAUUAGUUCAACUGUCGGUGGGAAGAAAAAGUUGACAAAGAAGAAGGUUCGAAAAAUAUCUGAAGAGGAAGAGGAGGAGGAGACUAGUUCUUCAGAAAGCGCUAAACCUGCUCCAACAGUUGAUAUCAACUCUUCUUCUAAUGUGUCUGAUAUAUCUGUGGGAGCAAUGGUGUUUGGUCGGUGGACGGAUCCUGCUGGAGUUUAUUUCUAUGCUGCGGAAGUGUUAGAGCUACUUAACUCGACCGAGGUUAGGGUUAGAUUCCUUGAUGAUAAAAUCGAACGUGUUCUCAAAAUUGAGAGUGAGCUAAUAAAUGUCAAAGCUUUACAUCCUCACGACGAGAUCACGGUGAAGCAUGAUAACACUGUAUAUGACGUAUCUGCCAAACUUAUGACGUUCCCUACUCUAAACAGAGCUGGAGACGUUCAAUACGAGAUAGAAAUAACGCCAACGGAUUCAGAACCACAGUUUAACGAGGACAGUAGAAUGGUUCACUUCUCGGAGGUAUCCCUGAGUGACGCCCAGGCCAGUAUGAUCAUCCGUAGAAUGGGUUUUGUUCCUGCCAGUAACAAAGUCUCUUCUGAUAUAAACUUCUGUAAUCUGAUCUUUGGAAAGAGGAAACCUCGAUCCGUGAACUCUAGUCCUGCUAGUGUAACGUCUGUAAAAGCCCAUCAAGGCUCUCCAAGUAGAACUCCGAAGAAGAAAACUCCGAGAAGAAAACGCGGCGGAUCCAAUGUAGAGGAGAGCGCGACAGCUACUGAAACUAGCGCGUCGGAACCAACUCCGCGUGGAAAGAAGACUCUUACCUAUUUAACCCAGGAGGAACUGCAGGAUAAUGAAUCUUUGUCUAAAAGGUCUCGAAAAUCUGGUUUGGCUAAUUCAUCUGUAAAAUCAAAUUUAUUUAAGGGAAUGACUUUCAUAAUUACUAGUUCAAAAUUCGAUGUAAGAAACCCUGAAGACAUGCCAGAGGUUCAGGUGAAAAAGCCAGAUUUUGACAAAAGUGUAAUUCGUUCUGCUAUUCAUGCCGGCGGAGGUAGAAUACUUGAGAGUUUCCCUGGACCGGAGAAUUUACAUGAGACACUAAACGACGUUGUUAUAACAUUAUCAGACAGCAUGUGUGUAACCUAUACCUACCUUAUAUCCCUAGCACACUCAGUUCCUAUUCUUAGCUACAGAUUUAUCCUGGAUUCAGUUUCUCUCGGUAAACUGGUGGAACGAGACAUAUAUUUUCUUCCUGCCGGUAACUCCACUCUUCUCUUAGAAGAUGUUGAACAGUUUAAGGAUUACACCAAGGAUCUAGCCUUAUAUGAAUGUUUACUUCCUUCUCCCCCUGCCACCUCGACCAGGCUCUCCAACAAGUUCAAGGACGCUGAAACCAUCUCACACAAGAAGAUUCUCUCCGGUCUUAAUGUUCUGAUCAUCAGUAAGAACAAGGAGUUUACUGUAGACUGGCAGAGUGUUCUUGUUGCUAUGGGAGCAACUGUACACAAGAGGUUUAGUAAUUCUGACCGGCUCAGUCAGAUUAGAAUACCGGAUGUAGUUGUGGCGGACAGUGUUGCACCUCAACCUUUACUCCAGGAUCUGCAGAAGAUACCGGAUUUACCCAUAGUCAACACUAACUGGGUCAUUCAGUGCGUGGUGAAUAACGCAAGAGUUGCGUACGGGAACUUCAUCACAAGCUGCGUAAAAUAACUUCAUUAAAAAACACAUCUUCUCCCCUUCCGUCUAAUUUUUAGGAAAAUUGUCUUGGCUUCCAUGCAUUCCUUAGUUUUAUUUUGAGGCAGCAUCCUGCACUGAAGUUAAACAAGUAGUGACUGAAGUUUUGUACUCUGCAUGUUAAUUGUGUUAAGCCCGAUAAAAUUUUAGAUCUCCAUGUUUUAUUGUUUACUGUUAAAACAUGUUGCCAAUUGUUCCCAAAACUAUAAUUUUACUAGAUACAUUGCAUAUUUUGUCCAGGAAAUCACCUUCAGACUCUUAAUCCUCAGAAAACUUCAUUAAUUUUAAUUUUUUCACAUUUUUUCAAUUUAUAAUUCGUAGAAUUCAAAACCAUCAAAUUCAAGUUAAUGUAGUAAAUGUAGUGUGAUACUCAGUUUUAAAUACCUCGUCUUCUAUUUAUUAUUUCUCUUAUCUAACUUAAUGAUUAUUGAUUAAAUUAAUAAUUAGCUACAACGCUGGAUAAUCUACGAAUUGAGUGUUAUUGUGAUAUUUGCCAACAACGGCGUAAAUUCAGUGUGAUCACUUUUAUUUGGUUUCAGA